rnacentral:rRNA from 1 species
UACGAAGGGGGCUAGCGUUGCUCGGAAUUACUGGGCGUAAAGGGCGCGUAGGCGGAUAUUUAAGUCGGGGGUGAAAGCCCAGGGCUCAACCCUGGAAUUGCCUUCGAUACUGGAUAUCUUGAGUUCGGGGGAGGUGAGUGGAAUGCCGAGUGUAGAGGUGAAAUUCGUAGAUAUUCGGCGGAACACCAGUGGCGAAGGCGACUCACUGGCCCGAUACUGACGCUGAGGCGCGAAAGCGUGGGGAGCAAACAGG